rnacentral:rRNA from 1 species
AAUGAACGCUGGCGGCGCGCCUAAUACAUGCAAGUCGAGCGAGAAGACGUAGCAAUACGUUUGUAAAGCGGCGAACGGGUGAGGAAUACAUGGGUAACCUACCCUCGAGUGGGGAAUAACUAGCCGAAAGGUUAGCUAAUACCGCGUACGCUUCUUGGACUUCGGUUCAGGGAGGAAAGCGAUGCCGAGGGUAUCGCGCUCUUGGAUGGGCUCAUGUCCUAUCAGCUUGUUGGGAGGUAACGGCUCACCAAGGCUUCGACGGGUAGCUGGUCUGAGAGGACGAUCAGCCACACUGGCACUGCGACGCGGGCCAGACUCCUACGGGAGGCAGCAGUAAGGAAUAUUGCGCAAUGGGCGAAAGCCUGACGCAGCGACGCCGCGUGGGGGAUGAAGGUCUUCGGAUUGUAAACCCCUUUCGGGA